CCACGCCUCCAGGUCGCGAGUUAGCACAUCGGGCGGGGCUAUUGUAAGCCCCUCCUCCAUCCCAUUGCCCCCGCACGGUACUGUUGAGCAGAGAUCAGACUCCUGUGGAUCGGAGCGCGGAUCCGCAGCUAAACCUCAUCCCACAGACACACUGUUCGGAUAACACAUCACGUUCAGCAAAACACCGUUUAUGGUUUUAUCUGAAGAUUUCACAAUGUCUCGCACCGACGAGGUCCACCGCAUUACGGAAAAUGUCUAUAAGAACAUCAUGGAACAGUUCAAUCCCUGUUUGCGGAAUUUCAUCGCCAUGGGAAAGAACUACGAGAAGGCUCUCUCCAGUGUGACGUUUGCAGCAAAGGGCUAUUUUGAUGCUCUGGUGAGAAUGGGAGAGUUGGCCAGUGAAAGCCAAGGAUCUAAAGACUUGGGGGAUGUGCUUUUCCAGAUGGCAGAGGUCCACCGACAGAUUCAAAUGCAGUUAGAGGAAAUGUUGAAAUGCUUCCACAACGAGCUGCUGUCGGAGCUGGAGAAGAAGGUGGAUUUGGACGCAAGAUACCUGACUGCGGCUCUUAAGAAGUACCAGGUGGAGCACAAAAGCAAAGGAGAGAGUCUGGAGAAAUGCCAGGGUGAGCUGAAGAAACUGCGGAGGAAGAGCCAGGGCAGCAAGAACCCCUCCAAGUACGGCGAGAAGGAGUUGCAGUAUGUUGAGACUAUCAGCAGCAAACAGAGUGAGCUGGAUAGCUUCAUUGCAGAGGGCUACAAAACAGCACUUUCAGAGGAACGUAGGAGAUACUGUUUCCUGGUGGACCGCCAGUGCGCCGUGGCCAAGAACAGCAGCGCCUACCAUGGCAAGGGUAAGGACUUGUUAACCCAGAAGAUCCCGGUGUGGCAGCAGGCCUGUUCAGACCCCAACAAGCUGCCCGACAGGGCCAUGCUGCUAGCCCAGCAGAUGAGCUCUGGAUCCGGCACCCUCCUCUCCAGCCCUCUGCACUCCUCCAAGGGCAACCUGGUCAUCUCAGAUCCCAUCCCUGGAGCACAACCGCUGCCUGUGCCCCCCGAACUAGCUGCCUUCAUGGGAAGUGGCCUGGGCCAUCAGGGGCGGCUAAUGGGUCCUGAUGGCAUGUCUCUGGUGAACGGGACAACGGGGGUCCAUGGAGACGACUACUGGACUGAUGGCGGGGUCUCUCAGGGAAGACCACCCUCUCCACAGAAUCAGACUCAACCACAGAGCCAGCCCCAGAGACAGGUCAGCGACGUCUAUUCCAACACCCUUCCCGUCCGCAGGCCUCAGCCUGCUAAAAACAAGACCACUGUGGGAGAGACACGGACUCUGCCCAGGUCAAGUUCUAUGGCGGCUGGUCUGGAGAAGAACGGACGUUCUCGUGUACAGGCCAUCUUCUCCCACGCCGCUGGAGACAAUAGCACCCUUCUGAGCUUCACUGAGGGCGACAUCAUCACCCUGCUGGUGCCAGAGGCUCGGGACGGCUGGCACUACGGGGAGAAUGAGAAAAACAAGAUGCGUGGCUGGUUUCCUUUUUCCUACACUCGAGUGCUGCCUGACAGUGACAGCGAGAAGUUAAGAGUCAAUCUUCAUCAUGGGAAGAGCAGCAGCACAGGAAACCUACUGGAGAGAGAGGACAUGUCCUUGCCCAUGCCUGACUAUGGUCUGACUGCCCGACUGUUGGCACAGAGCCUAACACAGACUCGACCACGUCCCUACAGCAUGGCAGGCUUCGUACAGUUCCGAUGGCAAAUUGAUUUCGACAGUGUGAACACAGACAGACUAUCAGACACAGAUCCGGAUAGCACAGGGGCCACGCCCCUACUUUCCUUAGCCCCUCCCCUUUUAAGCUCUGCCUCCACGCACUCCUCCUCCAAUGGAAGGGGCCAGUCUCAUCCCUCCUUUCUGUCCUCUCUUCCUCCCUGCGUCUUGCUGGGGCGAUAGUGAUGGUCGCGUGUGGUGGGUCGGGGGGGAACUCUGAGAAGAACGACCGGAACGCAGUCCAACUGCUCGCCUCGCUGCUUUACGGACUCUGAUUCGCCUGUAGUGACGCCGCUAUGACAUCGCUGUGGACUCCAAAGAGACUGCUUACCACUUCCCGUCUUUCAUGCAUGAGCAGAAGUUUUGCUAUGUGGUUGUUUUUUUUUUUCAAAUGACAUCCUCAUGUAAAAGUGCCAAAAGAAAAGCAAAUUUGGUCUUUUGGAGCAGCUCUCCUCAUACCGAAGCUCUUGCUGAGUGUUUUUCUAAGCAGAUGUAAUGGGAGCCUCAUGCCAAAUGAGGAAUGUUUUUGUUUUUUUUAUUCUUCUUUGUGGUUUAGUUGUGCAGAGUGUACUCUCUCUCUGUGUGUGUUUUUGAAGAGCAUUUGCAUUUUGUGAAUCCCUCAUGUAUUACCUGGUGCUCCUCUGGUCCAGAGGCUGUGUCACUUUGUGCCGCAACAAGCUUAGAUUUUCCUCCAAUUCACCCACGAAAUUGGAAGGAAAAUUGAAAAUUUCCCUCAUUAAACUAGUGCCAAAUGAGAGUGGACCUAUGAAACUGGAGCGAAGGUUGCAUGAGCUUCAAAAUCCUCAGGUGGGACUGUGCUGUUCGUCCAGACCAGCACGUGUCUGUUCACCCUACAUGCAUGAAAGAAAAGUGCUUUGAGCAGAAACCUUUCCCCGAAAAAAAUAUCCCAUUAUCCUGUCUCAGACACCUGGAAGUAUGGGAUCGGAAUAGUAUCAAAAAUAAUACUUUAUCAGUAUGAUUCACAAAUGUGUGACCUAAUUCACAAAAUUUGUUUCUCAAAUAUUCCUAUGAACGUUGUUCACAAAUUUUUGAACUUUUGAACAAACUCAUGAACGGAUGGAUAACUUUGAAUUUAUUAUUUUUUGAGAGGUUUUUAGUUAAGAUACAUUUAGCCAAAAAUACCAAAAUUCUGGUAAACAUUUUGGUAAAAUAAUGUUUGAGAGGUUUUUAUUCAAAAAUACAUUUUGCCAACAAUACCAUAACCCAAUAUUUUGGUAAAAUAGUGAUUGAGAGAGGUUUUGAUCUAAAAAUAAAUGUUGCCAAAAAUACCAAAAUUCACUUUUGGGUAAAAUAAUGAUUUAA